AGAUAACUGGAGCGUGAAGGCCAUCCGUAGAAAGACCACCGGCACUGGCAGGAUGAGGUACCUCCGUCACGUUCCUUGCCGAUUCAAGAGCGGCUUCAGAGAAGGUACUGAAGCUGCACCAAGGAAGAAGGGAGCAGCUGCAUCUGGAGAAACUGUACAUGGGAAUCGUCAUCAUCUUGGUCAAGCUCUUCUGGAAGAAACCAGAGUAGCGUUACAAGUAUGAACCCAUCCAGGAUGAUCUUGAACUUGGAAGCUCCAAUUUCCCUGUGGUUCUCAUCUAGAUUCCAAUGUUCAAUGAGAAAGAGAGUCUGAAAUCAAGGGGUAUUCGAUUCCCUGGCCGUGACAACGGGAGCUUGGCACCUAUUUUCACUCCUCUGCGUUUGGUGUCUGAGGCUGAACUUGAUCUUCCACACCAGACUCAGCAUGAUGAUAUUCCUGUGCAGAGUUUUACACCUGAACAAACUAAGGAAGCUUUUGAUGUUGCUAGAAACAGCAUUGAGCUUCUUUCUACUAUGUUGUCUUCUUCUCCACAAUAAGAUGUCUUGCAGUUGUGCAAGAUUGAUUCGGAAGGAAAAAGCUAGGAAGGUAACUGGUUGCUCCUGCAUAGUUGUGAAGGUAAGAAGAAUGGGAAGUAAAGAAACUGCAUUGAUAGUCAUGCAUGAAGAAUAUAAAAUCCUCAAGUGCUACAAAAAUGAUAGAAGUUCUUCCCAGAGGGCCAUCUACUUUCUCUAAAGCACAAUGCUGUGAGCUACAAGAUUCAGCAUCAUGACUUUUUGCCUAUAAACCGAGAAACUCAACAAUAUUAUGUUUGGAUUAUUGAUAUUUAUUUCUUAAUUUCUUUAUUUCUACACAAAAAAUGACAAAGAGAUAGAAUAAGUUAAUGACUUUUAAUAAGUUUUAUAUGUAUUGAUAUUUUUAUCCCAAUGUAUUUUAUAACUAC